GAAGGAUCUUUACCUUUACAUAUAUUAAAACUGGAAUGAUACAGAGAAGAUAGGCAUGGCUCCUGUGCAAGGAUGACAUGCAAAUUCACGAAGCGUUCCACAUUUUU